GUGAAGAUGUACGACUACAUCAACCGCGUUGUGCUAACGCUUCCGCUUACGGUCUACGAGGGGCUGAUGAAACAACAGAAGGAUGUGGACGACCUGAGGACUGGAGCGGCUAUGCUGAAGAACAACGCUUCAAGGUUGAUGCAGAUAUGUGCCACGGCGUACCAGGAUGGUGGAGCUCGCUGAAGUGAGGGAU